rnacentral:misc_RNA from 1 species
GAUGAAGAACGUAGCGAAAUGCGAUAAGUAAUGUGAAUUGCAGAAUUCAGUGAAUCAUCGAAUCUUUGAACGCACAUUGCGCCCGCCAGUAUUCUGGCGGGCAUGCCUGUUCGAGCGUCAUUACAACCCUCAGGCCCCCGGGCCUGGCGUUGGGGAUCGGCGGAGCCCCCCGUGGGCACACGCCGUCCCCCAAAUACAGUGGCGGUCCCGCCGCAGCUUCCAUCGCGUAGUAGCUAACACCUCGUGACUGGAGAGCGGCGCGGCCACGCCGUAAAACACCCAACUCUUCUGAAGUUGACCUCGAAUCAGGUAGGAAUACCCGCUGAACUUAAGCAUAUCAAUAAGCGGAGGA